UUAAUAAAGCAAGGCACUGAAAAUGCCAAGAUGAGUCGCACGACUCCAUAAACA
rnacentral:tRNA from 1 species